rnacentral:rRNA from 1 species
UACGAAGGGGGCUAGCGUUGCUCGGAAUGACUGGGCGUAAAGGGUUUGUAGGUGGUCUGUUAAGUCAGACGUGAAAUCCCUCAGCUUAACUGGGGAACUGCGUCUGAGACUGAUGGACUUGAGGGCAGGAGAGGAACGCGGAAUUCCAGGUGUAGCGGUGAAAUGCGUAGAUAUCUGGAGGAACACCGGUGGCGAAGGCGGCGUUCUGGACUGUUUCUGACACUGUAAAACGAAAGCCAGGGGAGCAAACGGG